CGGAGAAACACUCAAGCCACUGGGGUGGUUAGGGCACACUGGUGGCAACUGUUUAAAACCUUAACUAAAACAAGGUUAAGCAAAAGGAGUUUACAGGCUCUCAUAGAUGGGAAGGAUGUGGGAGGGUCACAGACUGAGAGGAACCAGGGCUGUGGCUGCUGGAAGGAGCCUCACCACCGCCAGUGUGUUUCCUCCCCGUCGUCGGCAUCUCUGCUUCUCUCUGCACGCCAGCAGCUCUCUCUUAGGGCACGCAGACCUUUCCUCUGCAGGGGAACACGAGUGCCGGCAGCCCCGAGUUAGUGACUAUCAUAGAAACUCAGUGUAUUUCUCUCUUGUUUAUCAUUCCGAGUCCUGAGUCACAGGCUUGUCCAGCACUCAAGACUUUUUCUUUUCUCUAUUUUUUGAAACGGAUUCUCGCUCUGUCCCCCAGGCUGGAGUGCAGUGGCCCGAUUUUGGGUGCAAGCGAUUCUCCUGCCUCAACCUCCCGAGUAGCUGGGACUACAGGUGUGCGCCACCACAUCCAGCUAAUUUUUGUAUUUUUAGUAGAGACGGAGUUUCACUAUGUUGGCCAGGCUGGUUUCAAACUCCUGACCUCCCGCCGGCCUCAGCCUCCCAAAGUGCUGGGAUUACAGGCAUGAGCCACCACGCCUGGCCAAGAUUUUUUCUUUUAAACCUGGAGUAUGGAGAUGCUCACUAGGCAGACAGAAUCAGCCACCACAGCCCACUCCCUCAGCCAGUAUUACUUUGACUAAGUUAGUGAGGAACCAGGCCCCAGAUUAAGAAGCAGAACUCACACUGUCAUCUGCUGUGUGCCUGGCUGGCUCAUGCAUACCUUGUCUAUCUAAUGUGGACCAAAGCCCUGUGGCACACCCUGCUGGUUACCCCCAGUGGUUACCCUGGCACAGAGGAGGAAAGGGAGUCGUGGGAGGGAGAAGGACUUCCCUGGGAGGUCUCUGGGCUGGCAAGUUGGGUGACACAGGUCCGGUUGGCUGCAAGCCUGGGCUCUGCUGUUGUAAUCAUAAAUGUGUGUGUGUGUACAGUUGUUUACAAUGUCAGCAUGGGUGUCCUUGUUUGUUAGAGAUACAUGCCACUGCUCCCAUCAUGAGGAAAAUCCCAAGCCCUCCCCAUGAUUUUUGCCAGUUUCUGGGGACUCAUGCUCCUGGCAGCCCAUGUGUCCCCAACUCCUGUGUCCUUUAGGGACCUCUGUUGAGCCCUGCCUCUAUUCUGGCAGAAUUAGAGAAAAUUCUUUAAAAAAACAAUAAAGUUUAAAUUCAUUUAAAAAAAUAAUAAAAAAUCUCACAGCAUGAGUUUUGAUGAGAUUUGGGGCAAGGUGGGCCACAACCUUGGGUUGUAUGGCCACCUCCCCCUCUUCUUCCCCUGUUGUCUCUGCAGCUCAGAAACCCCAAUUUCCUGGCCUGUGUUAUGUGGAGGAGCUGAGCUCACCCCCUACAGCUUCAUCUCCAAACCUAGCAAGGAUCCUGCCCAGAUCAGGAGAUCCUCCUUUUAACAGAAGUUAUUUACACUCCUUAGAAAGCAGUGGGGGUGGAACGAUUCUUUUUCCUGAUGCAGAGAUGUAAAACUGGGACAUUGCUACACAUAAUAUUUUAAACCUGUCUUCCCUCUUACCAACGAACACAUCACUAGCACCAUCUAUGCCAAUACAUUUCUCAACAUCAAUUUCAGUGGCUGUAUUACAUUUUAUCCUACGGAUGUGCUCUCAUUUAUAAUCUAAACCACUUUUAUUGAACACAUCAGUUAUUCUGAAAUUUUCAGUGUUAUGAUGGAUGUUGCAGUAAUUAUUCUUAUAUAUGCACAGAACCCCCAGAGGACAUGACUACUGAAGGCUGUGCUGGCAGGAUCACAGGUUUCCACACUGUUAAAUUCAUUCCAAGUAUUUCAUACAUGCUGUUCCUAUUAUGAAAGGAUCUUUUUUUUCACAUGGCAUUUUCUAAGUAGUUGUUGCAUUCAUAUAGGAGAUGCUAUUGAUUUUGACACCCAUAAUUUUUCAGUGGAGACAAGGCAGAAACUACUCCAGACUCUCACCUGCUGUUGCUGAUCCUUACAUGGUGGCUGUGCCAGGCUCAGCCGCGCUGAGAUGACAGGGCUGUCUGGCCAUCAUUGGUCAUAUGGACUUCAGAUUUGAAAGGAUUUUAUGUAGAAGCAGAGUGCCUGAUAGGACUCUCCGGGACCCCCAUUUCUGCCCUGCUUGGCUCCCACUGGCAAGGCUGGCUCAGUUCCUGUCACCUUCUCCUGGACUUUGGCCAGAGUCCACUGGCUGUUUCCCCUGCCUCCUGCUCUCCCAGUGCCCUCUCCACACCAGUGCCAGAGCUGCUUCUAAGAGAUGCCUCAAAGCCCGCUUCCAGCUUAGGAACCCCAGGGAACAUGGAUGGUUUCUCCAUUGCCACUUCCUAGCCUUCCUGGCAUAGGAAGGUCUGGUUUGCCUGCAGGUCCCUCUCUGGGGGGGUCCCUGCUCCAUAGAUGCUGAGGCUCCAGAAGUCUGUUCUUUUAUAUCACAUUUGAAAACCUUUGAAAUGCAUUAUAGUUGAGUCAUAUGAAUUAUGUAAGUAUAUCCUACUCAUUGUAUAAAACAACACAGAAUUGUCUAAAGUGUCAUUUUUCUCCGCAUUCCAAGAAAAAGCUAAGAAGCAAUGCUAAACAAUUAGGCGUGUGAUCUUCUGUACUUUUCCCUUUGUCUCCACAAAAGUAAUCGGACAUACAGAAUUUUAAAAAUGGAUUACCCUGGGAAAGGCUCCUCCUCUCCCUCUCCCUCCUCUCCCUCUCCCUCCUCUCCCUCUCCCUCCUCUCCCUCUCCCUCCUCUCCCUCUCCCUCCUCUCCCUCUCCCUCCUCUCCCUCUCCCUCUCCCUCUCCCCACGGUCUCCCUCUCCCUCUCUUUCCACGGUCUCCCCCUGAUGCCGAGCCAAAGCUGGACUGUACUGCUGCCAUCUCGGCUCACUGCAAC
rnacentral:lncRNA from 10 species